GACGAACGCUGGCGGCGUGCUUAACACAUGCAAGUCGAACGGAAAGGCCCUGCUCUUGUGGGGUGCACGAGUGGCGAACGGGUGAGUAACACGUGAGUAACCUGUCCCUGUCUUUGGGAUAACUCCACGAAACAGGGGCUAAUACCGGAUAGGAGCUCCUGCUGCAUGGUGGGGGUUGGAAAGUUUCGGCGGUUGGGGCUGGACUCGCGGCUUAUCAGCUUGUUGGUGGGGUAGUGGCUUUCCAAGGCUUUGACGGGUAGCCGGCCUGGGAGGGUGACCGGGCACAUUGGGACUGAGAUAGGGCCCAGACGCCUACGGGAGGCAGCAGUGGGGAAUAUUACACAAUGGGCGGAAGCCAGAUGCAGCAACGCCGCGUGCGGGAUGACGGCCUUCGGGUUAUAAACCGCUUUCGCAUGUGACGAAGAGUGAGUGACGGUAAUGGGUAAAGAAGCACCGGCUAACUACGUG
rnacentral:rRNA from 1 species